CUUUCCCCUCUUCUUGUGACAGGCGAUGGUAGGACAAGCUAGCUGUUUCCCAUCCACACGCACGAGUCACAUCUAUGGGAGCAUCUGACUAUUUAUAGUCAAUGGCAGAAGGUUCCAGAAUACCUUUAGCCUGGCAGCGCCUCUGUGGGUAGAGUAGGCCCAGAGGUUACCCAUUGCCAAGGGCGGCACACACGGUCCUAGGGGAGAAGCCUUCAUCUUUGCAACGUCUGCAUUCUCGUCUGGCCCACAGCCGAGCCUGGUGGAGAGUAGGCACUCAUUACAGCUUCACGGAGUGAACGAGGGGAGAGAUCACACACGGGGUUGCUCCCAUUUAAAUAGCAACGCAAAUGUUCAACGGCUCAGUGACUGGCAGACGUAAAUACAGACAGAAAACAAGGACCAAGUUUGAAAGAGCUGCAAAGGCGGCAGGAACCUCUCUGACACCCACAGUGGCCAGCACUGUGCCAGCCAUACGGCAGGCACUCGGUCGGUGUUGGAGAAAGACACGUGAAGACAAAGCCAGCAGGACACAGCCGAGAUGCCCUGGAGUGGGGGAGGAGGGAGCAAGGAAGGGGCCUGGAAA